GGAGGCAGUCGGGGCUAUCGGUGGUUUGUGAACGCGGCGUGUGUGUUGUCUGGAGCGGGCGGUGGUGACGGCGGCUGCUCCUUACGCGCUCCCGGCUCCAUGUAGGGUACUCUCCUAGAAUCCAGGUUGAGUCGUUCACUCCCAAAAAGAAGUCAUUUUGUGUCUUGGAAUCUGCUGCACACACUCACCCAACACUGUGCAGCUUCAAUACAACAUCUGGAAAAACUUCACCAACUGGCAAAACAAAUUUGGACUUGGAACCAAAAAUGUAAAGAGUUCAUCUGCUUAUGGAGGGUUAAAGGAUCUGGUUCUCCAAAUCGUCAUUCAAGGAAUCUGGGUUUGUCCUUCCACACCUCUUGGGGCUUCAUGAGAGUUUUUCAUAAACUUGCUCAAUCUUCUCUUAUGAUGACGAUGGUCUCACUAUACUUGCAAAAUGAUGUCACAUUUUUUGGGACACCCUGUAUUUUUGAGCAAU